rnacentral:rRNA from 1 species
UACAGGGGGUGCAAACGUUGCUCGGAAUUAUUGGGCGUAAAGCGCGCGUAGGCGGCUACUUAAGUCGGAUGUGAAAGCCCUUGGCUCAACUGAGGAAGUGCACCCGAAACUGAGUGGCUUGAGUACUAAAGAGGGUCGCGGAAUUCCUGGUGUAGCGGUGAAAUGCGCAGAUAUCAGGAGGAACACCAGUGGCGAAGGCGCCGCUCUGGGCCGGUACUGACGCUGAGGAGCGAAAGCGUGGGGAGCGAACAGG